rnacentral:rRNA from 1 species
UACGAAGGGGGCUAGCGUUGUUCGGAAUCACUGGGCGUAAAGCGCACGCAGGCGGAUCGUUAAGUCGGGGGUGAAAUCCCGAGGCUCAACCUCGGAACUGCCUUCGAUACUGGCGAUCUUUGAGUCCGGGAGAGGUGAGUGGAACUCCGAGUGUAGAGGUGAAAUUCGUAGAUAUUCGCAAGAACACCAGUGGCGAAGGCGGCUCACUGGCCCGAUACUGACGCUGAGGCACGAAAGCGUGGGGAGCAAACAGG